rnacentral:rRNA from 1 species
CCUACGGGAGGCAGCAGUGGGGGAUAUUGCACAAUGGGGGAAACCCUGAUGCAGCGACGCCGCGUGUGGGCAGACGGUCCUCUGGAUUGUAAACCACUUUCCCCAGGGACUAAGAUGACGGUACCUGGGGAGGAAGCUCCGGCAAACUACGUGCCAGCAGCAGCGGUAAUACGUAGGGAGCGAGCGUUGUCCGGAAUUACUGGGGGUAAAGGGAUCGUAGGCGGGACUGCAAGUUGGGUGUAAAAUCUCCGGGCUCAACCGGUAGCCGCACUCAAAACUGCAGUUCUUGAGUGAAGUAGAGGUGUGCGGAAUUCCUAGUGUAGCGGUGAAAUGCGUAGAUAUUAGGAGGAACACCAGUGGCGAAGGCGGCCUACUGGGCUUUUACUGACGCUGAGGCUCGAAAGUGUGGGUAGCAAACAGGAUUAGAUACCCUAGUAGUC